rnacentral:rRNA from 1 species
CCCUUAGAUGUUCUGGGCCGCACACGCGCUACACUGAAGGAGGCAGCGUGUACUCCUGGAUCGAAAGAUUUGGGUAACCCGCGAAUCUCCUUCGUGCUAGGGAUUGAGGUUUGCAAUUAUCCUUCAUGAACGAGGAAUUCCCAGUAAGUGCAAGUCAUAAGCUUGCGCUGACUACGUCCCUGCCCUUUGUACACACCGCCCGUCGCUACUACCGAUUGAAUGGUCCGGUGAAAUCUCGGGACGGCGGCUUGGUCGCUUGCGUCCGACUGCUGAAACUUGAUUAAACCAUAUCAUUUAGAGGAAGGUGAAGUCGUAACA